UUGUUCCCACAUGCAGCCUCCGCACGGGUUAACAGAAACAGAGGCUUUAGAAGUUUGGCAAUAAUGUGCAUAGAGGUUCCAGCAAUAUGUAAAUACUAAAGAAUCGCAUAGGAAGCCAAUAAUACACUAAUCCUCUCCAUCCUACAAGAGUCCAUUUCCAAGUAAGAUGAGGACAUGUUUAUGUUUUCUUUGAAUGCUUUUUGAAUGUUGUUAUUUUCAGUAUUUUGCAGAAAUUAUUUAAUAAAAAAAAGUAUAAUCAUUUGCUUUUUGAAUUCUCUCUAAAAGGGAAUGUUCAGUUUGUAAUGGUUUAAAUUGGUCUCAAAGUACUUUAAAAUAAUUGUAACCCAGCUGGAUGUGAAAUUUAUGGUGCCUAAGAAAUACCACUUGAAGAUUAUCAAUGACAGUGUUAAGUUUCAAAAUGAGCUUCUCAAAAAUAGAUUAUUGUACAUUUAUGGAAUGUUAUAUGGUUAAACCCAAAAAGCACAUCACACAUAAAUCUGCUUUCAGUUCCAACCAGCUUGGCUUUCAAAAAUAGAGCUCCAAAAAAAAAAAAGGAAAAAAAAGAUAUAUAUGCUUUGUUAUUAACAGAAGGCAGCAGACAUUCAUAAAACUACUAUCGGAAGUUUUCCAUUAGAUGUAUAAAGAGCUAUCCUUUGGUAUGUGGGAAAGAAGAAAGCUGUCAUAAUUCUGAUUGAGUAUAAGUGAGAGAGAUACGGUACUGUUUGAGAGCAGCUCCUUUUCUGCGUGUGGCUUCAUACCGUUCCAAACUAUGUAGAUUUUAUAAUAGCUUCAGUGAGAAUUGGUAACAUGCCUGUAUGACUCACAACAGAUCUUGAAAACUAUCUUUAAUUACUGGUAGGACAAAAAGGGACAUUCUGGUUAUUUUAGGCACUGGCUUGGAACACUGUAUAUGCAGAAGAAAGAAGACAGGCAAUCUGGGGAAAGGAAGGGGACCUGGGAAGCACUGCCUUCUUUAAGGAAAGACACACCAAUAGAUGAGAUCAUCCCAAAGGCACAGGGACCACAGAGUGUGAGUCCUUAGUGACGAGUCAGGUGAGCUCUGGUGAGCUUGGAGAAGCCAGCCCCACCAGCAGAGCAGGCACGGCAGGGAUGGGACAAGCAGGGACGACAAUUCCAGCUGGACACUGGUCCCAGUAUUUUGCUCCCUCUUAUAUACCGUGAGGCAGUAUCACCGUGGGAUGAACCAUGGUAGCACGUUUUGAUCUGUCAGCACUCAAGGAUCAUGGUAGCCUUCGGGAGCUUUAGGUUUUGGUUGGUCACCCCAACGAUCAGCUGUAGUUGAAUGUGUUUCUUAUGUGCCUGGUUUCAGUGUUAGAAGGUGAAAUAGAGUGUGCAAAGGACACUGCAAACCACUUCGGAUGGAAGUUUUCUCAUUUUCCAGACUAUUUUCGGUCAGCCUGGUCUAUCAAGAUCGGUAACCAGGUCUUCAGGAAAGGGUUGGCUUCUAUCUAGGACAUGCCUGAAAGGAUUUUAUUUUCUGAUAAAUGGCUGUAUGAAAAUACCCUCCUAAAUACCCUGCUUAACUACAUAUAGAUUUCAGUGUGUCAAUAUUCUAUUUUGUAUAUUAAACAAAUGCUAUAUAAUGGGGACAAAUCUAUAUUAUACUGUGUAUGGCAUUAUUAAGAAGCUUUUUCAUUAUUUUUUAUCACAGUAAUUUUUAAAUGUGUAAAAAUUAAAAACCAGUGACUCCUGUUU
rnacentral:lncRNA from 1 species